rnacentral:rRNA from 1 species
CCUACGGUAGGCAGCAGUGGGGAAUAUUGGGCAAUGGGCGCAGGCCUGACCCAGCAACGCCGCGUGAAGGAAGAAGGCUUUCGGGUUGUAAACUUCUUUUGUCAGGGACGAAGCAAGUGACGGUACCUGACGAAUAAGCCACGGCUAACUACGUGCCAGCAGCCGCGGUAAUACGUAGGUGGCAAGCGUUAUCCGGAUUUACUGGGUGUAAAGGGCGUGUAGGCGGGACUGCAAGUCAGAUGGGAAAACCACGGGCUCAACCUGUGGACUGCAUUUGAAACUGUAGUACUUGCGUACUGGAGAGGCAGACGGAAUUCCGAGUGUAGCGGGGAAAUGCGUAGAUAUUAGGAGGAACACCAGUGGCGAAGGCGGUCUGCUGGACAGCAACUGACGCUGAGGCGCGAAAGCGUGGGGAGCAAACAGGAUUAGAUACCCGGGUAGUC